GUAAAUAAAGGAUAUGAGAAUUAAUCUUUCCGCUUUCUUCCUGUCUGUGUCUUUCCAUGUGGUCCUUUUCUUUAGUCUUGGUCUUGCUUCACUUACUUUCAGUAACUUCCUGGUUGUAGUAAUGCUCACGAGUCCCCUCUGGGUCCUGAAGAAAAGUUCCUUUUCCACGUGACAGGGAAAACUUCUCUGCCUCCUGGUUGUAGGAAUCUCCCAGUGUCGCUGAGCCUGCUGGGUGUGUGUCUCCUCUCCCUGCGCUGCACGGAGCCCCCAAAGCUUGUGCCACCUGAGCUUGGUCGUCCGGCCUCAAGGAAGGACAAUCCCAGGGGAUCUCCCUGACACAUGUACAGCAGCCCAAGACAAGAGGAAGUGAUAGUCUUCCUCUUCUCUGCAGCCUUCUAAACCAAACUGAGAGUAACCACACUGGAAACAAAAAAGUGAAACAGAUAAAACCUUCAGCUUAGCCAGCAAUUUCAUUUCAAAUCAAGUUCCAAAAUUCACUCUUUUUUGACAACAGGAGCAGUUUGGGAGAGGUUUGUUUCAAAGAAUUGCUGCCCUUCAUUUGGCCAUAGUGUUCUCCGAACACCAGUCUGAUAUGCCAUUGACUUCAAGAGGAAAUGGUAGUAAUCCUGUUCAUAUAUAACAGGCACUCUCGGUUUCCCCAUUUGAAACACCAAGACUUUCACUAGCAGUGUGCAAACAGCAUGAAUGAGUAUCUUCUCACUAUGAUUAUGAGUUGGAAAGAGGUCCCCUGCCUG